rnacentral:rRNA from 1 species
GUCCACGCCGUAAACGAUGGAUACUAGCUGUUGGGGCGAACUUCAGUGGCUAAGCGAAAGUGAUAAGUAUCCCACCUGGGGAGUACGGGCGCAAGCCUGAAACUCAAAGGAAUUGACGGGGCCCGGCACAAGCGGUGGAGCAUGUGGUUUAAUUCGAUGCAACGCGAAAACCUUAACCCACCUUUGACAUGGCAGGAAGGCUUCAGAGAUGAGGCUGUGCUCGAAAGAGAACCUGCACACAGGUGCUGCAUGGCUGUCGU